CCUACGGGAGGCAGCAGUGAGGAAUCUUGGUCAAUGGACGAGAGUCUGAACCAGCCAAGCAGCGUGAAGGAUGACUGCCCUAUGGGUUGUAAACUUCUUUUAUAAAGGAAUAAAACGACGCUCGUGUGCCUUUUUGCAUUUACUUUAUGAAUAAGGAUCGGCUAACUCCGUGCCAGCAGCCGCGGUAAUACGGAGGAUGCGAGCGUUAGCCGGAUUUGUUGGGUUUAAAGGGAGCGUAGAUGGGUUGUUAAGUCAGUUGUGAAUGUUUGCGGCUCAACCGUAAAAUUGCAAUUGAUACUGGAAGUCUUGAGUACAGAUGAGGUAGGUGGAAUUCGUGGUGUAGCGGUGAAAUGCGUAGAUAGCACGAAGAACACCGAUUGCGAAGGCAGCUUACUAAUCUGUGACUGACAUUGAUGCUCGAAAGUGUGGGUAUCAAACAGGAUUAGAUACCCCAGUAGUC
rnacentral:rRNA from 1 species